UUCCAAGACCUCCCGUCAGGCAAGAGCAAUCGAUUCUUCGUAACCUACUCCGGCAACUCCCCCGGAAAUUGCAGAGCGAACUGUUUGCUUCCGGGACGCCGGCGUGCAAUUGGGAUUUAGAGAUUUGAACUCUAAGCUCCUUUCGUGUUCCAGUUCUUGGCUGAAGUCUUUUAAGGCACAGAGCCGCUCAAUAAAAUCAGCCAAGGAAAAUUAUUAUAAAGUUCUCAUUCCUCAUGAACAGAGCAGAGGAAGAAAUGGGCCUUGGGAUCUGGGAGUGGAGCUGGAAGUACUGGAGGGUAAAAGUUUGAUGGCUCUCAACUUCAACUGGUACCUGAGCAUCGUCCAGCAAGAAAUCUCGAGCACGAACCUUCACAAACCACUUUUGACACGUUCGAUCAGUCACAGUACCUUCUCCAUACACUGCACAAAUCCUUUUUGUUUCCCUUCCUUGAAAUAAUAAAGU